UGGGGAAUAUUGCACAAUGGGCGAAAGCCUGAUGCAGCAACGCCGCGUGAGUGAUGAAGGCCUUCGGGUUGUAAAGCUCUGUCUUCUGGGAAGAUAAUGACGGUACCAGAGGAGGAAGCCACGGCUAACUACGUGCCAGCAGCCGCGGUAAUACGUAGGUGGCAAGCGUUGUCCGGAUUUACUGGGCGUAAAGGAUGCGUAGGCGGAUACUUAAGUCAGAUGUGAAAAUCCCGGGCUUAACUUGGGAACUGCAUUUGAAACUGGGUAUCUAGAGUGCGGGAGAGGAAAGUGGAAUUCCUAUUGUAGCGGUGAAAUGCGUAGAGAUUAGGAAGAACACCAGUGGCGAAGGCGACUUUCUGGACCGUAACUGACGCUGAGGCAUGAAAGCGUGGGGGGCAAACA
rnacentral:rRNA from 1 species